rnacentral:rRNA from 1 species
GGGCCGCACGCGCGCUACACUGACGGAGCCAGCGAGUAUAUAACCUUGUCCGAGAGGUCAUGGGUAAUCUUGUGAAACUCCGUCGUGCUGGGGAUAGAGCAUUGCAAUUAUUGCUCUUCAACGAGGAAUUCCUAGUAAGCGCAAGUCAUCAGCUUGCGUUGAUUACGUCCC